GACGAACCGUACAAACGUUAUUCGGAAUCACUGGGCUUAAAGGGUGCGUAGGCGGCGGUGCAAGUUGGGUGUGAAAUCCCUCGGCUCAACCGAGGAACUGCGCUCAAAACUGCAUUGCUUGAGGGAGAUAGAGGUGAGUGGAACUUAGGGUGGAGCGGUGAAAUGCGUUGAUAUCCUAAGGAACACCAGUGGCGAAGGCGACUCACUGGGUCUCCACUGACGCUGAGGCACGAAAGCUAGGGUAGCGAACGGG
rnacentral:rRNA from 1 species